UAGUGGCGAACGGGUGAGUAACACGUGGGCAAUCUGCCCUGCACUCUGGGACAAGCCCUGGAAACGGGGUCUAAUACCGGAUACGAGCCGGGGAGGCAUCUCCNNGGUUGGAAAGCUCCGGCGGUGCAGGAUGAGCCCGCGGCCUAUCAGCUUGUUGGUGAGGUAACGGCUCACCAAGGCGACGACGGGUAGCCGGCCUGAGAGGGCGACCGGCCACACUGGGACUGAGACACGGCCCAGACUCCUACGGGAGGCAGCAGUGGGGAAUAUUGCACAAUGGGCGAAAGCCUGAUGCAGCGACGCCGCGUGAGGGAUGACGGCCUUCGGGUUGUAAACCUCUUUCAGCAGGGAAGAAGCGAGAGUGACGGUACCUGCAGAAGAAGCGCCGGCUAACUACGUGCCAGCAGCCGCGGUAAUACGUAGGGCGCGAGCGUUGUCCGGAAUUAUUGGGCCGUAAAGAGCUCGUAGGCGGCUUGUCGCGUCGGUUGUGAAAGCCCGGGGCUUAACCCCGGGUCUGCAGUCGAUACGGGCAGGCUAGAGUUCGGUAGGGGAGAUCGGAAUUCCCU
rnacentral:rRNA from 1 species